AGGCGAGGGAGCCAGAGCUGUUGAGCCAUGAGGAAGGCGACCGAUGGCAGAUUCCUCCAGCAUUUCCACCCCUGGGGCUCUUGGCGAGCGAGCGCUCGUCUGCUUUGAAAGCUCUUAGUGCUCCUGCAGUUCAGCACUGAAUAACGAGCCUGCAAGCCGGAGGGAGAGCUCCCCAGAGAGGCGCCUGCGCACGGGAGAUGGACACAACAAGUGCCUCAGAUGGGUCGGUAUCUGAAGCAAUCUCUCUCUAAUUUUCUACACCAGUGAGAGCACAGCACAGCACCAUCAAUCACAGCCAGCCUCUCCUCAGAAAGCUGCCUCCCACCUGGCUGUGCUGUGGGGCUCCCCUGUGCUCCUGCCUGUGCUGGGGGCUGCAGGUGUCCUGGGCAGCAGCACUGUAGGCACUGUCCCUCCUGGGGGUUUCUCAUUCCUUGUAUUCCUUGUAUUUCAGCCUGCUUGUGCUUGUGCCUGUCUCCUUCCUCCACCACCAGCACCUGCUCCUUGCCAGCACUUCAUUUCCAGAUGCAUCUUCCCCUCCUGGAGUCAGAAAAGGCCAAAUGCUCCCUUUAUCCCCGGUGAGGAGAAGUUGUGAUGGCUCUUGGACCUACCAAAACCUGGCUGACCUGUUUCUGGUAUCCUGACACAGAAGUUGUUUUCAGCCCCAUAUCUGUCUCCCUGGGCUCAAGCACCAGCUAGAAAACCAAGGACUGAGCUGCUGCAGCUUUAGAAAGAAGCUUUUUCAGAAGAAACUCUUGCAAUUGCCACCUCCCUCUCAGCCUCUUCAUUGGUUUCUGAGAGUAGCUGAGCAUCCUUGACCUCUCUCUCAGGCAUGGUUCCCUGCAUGUAUCAGCCCUGCCCCCGUGUUGUGGAGCUGUUGCUGGCAUCUGUAAUAGCUGCGUUGUUUACUUCCCAAGCGCCUGCCCUUUCUGUAAUGAGCUGUAAUUCAUCCUGGUUCAUACAGGGCUCAGAGAUACCUGCAGCAAGGAGGGUGUGCCAUUAAACCCCCUUCUAGACUGCUAUCUGGACCAGGGAUUGCUAAUCUCCUGGAGAUGUAAAACAGGGAGGACAAGGGGGACCAGAUGGAAAUGGGGAAUAAUUACCUUGCAGGGUAAAGGGGGCUGGCUAGGUUGGAAGCUGCUGGGAGCUGACACGCAGGUGCAGAUGGAUGGUUAUGGCAGGCAGGGUGGAGGGAUGAAAGAUGCCUUUUUAAAACAUCUGCCUCCCUUUCUUCCUCUGCUUUAUAGCCUGUUUUUAUAGAGACUGCAUGAGGAACACAUUUUUUUUUAUUAGCAGCUUGGGA